UACGAAGGUUACAAGCGUUAUUCGAAAUCACUGGGCUUAAAGGGUGCGCAAGCGGAAAUGUAAGUGUCUUGUGAAAUACCUUGGCUUAACCAGGGCAUUGCUCGGCAUACUGCAUUUCUUGAGGCAAGUAGAGGUGUGUGGAACUCUUGGUGGAGCGGUGGAAUGCGUAGAUAUCAAGAGGAACGCCGAAGGUGAAGACAGCACACUGGACUUGUCCUGACGCUCAUGCACGAAAGCGUGGGGAGCAAACAGG
rnacentral:rRNA from 1 species